GUUACUCUAUCCCAAUCUCAUCUCUACCUUCCAAUGUUGCGUCCCAAAACACUCCAUCCAUCAGCGUCCAUUUUUGCCUCUCAAGCUCCUUUCCUUUGGCUCGUGCCUUCUCGCCUCAACGGUCUGCGAGCAGCUAGCCGCGCAACCUCACAGCUCCUUAGCUUGAGCCCUCAGCUUUAGCUCUGCCAUCAGCUCCUCCUUCAGCUUGUCUUGGCUCCUCCAUUAUGCGAAUUUUAGAGCUGAGUCCUAUAAUGGUUUUUGGGGCUGAUUGGAAAGAAGUUAGACCUAAUUUACCAUUAUGUGAUUAUCUGAUAAUUUGCACGGCUGGGUUCGUGGUCAAUUGAACUACAAAGAAUAAAAGAUUCUAUGGUAGAAGGUGGUUCUUCUCUUUCUGAUGUAUUUUCUUGACGUGGAUGAUGCAGUGAUGAUGAGGAAGAGAGUCUUGAAAACGAGGACACUGAAUUGGAGAAGAGUUAGGCCAUCUAGCUUUAACUUUCCUGAUCAUGUUUUCCCCAUCUUAUGUCGUGAUAAUUUGCACAUACAAUUCAAAUAAAAUAUUCUUCUUCCAUUUCCCUUAUGUCACGUGGCAUAUACUUUCUUCUGUACCGAUUUCGACCUUGUAAUGCUUGAUCACUAAGUUUGAAGUCCUAAUAUUUUGCGCUUUCAGUCCUUGUGAACAUUCAAUUGAUUUUUGUUAUUAGUUAUUUUUUUA